UACGAAAGGUGCGAGCGUUAAUCGGAAUUACUGGGCGUAAAGCGUGCGUAGGCGGCUAUUUAAGUCGGAUGUGAAAGCCCCGGGCUCAACCUGGGAGGUGCAUCGGAUACUGGGUAGCUAGAGUGUAGUAGAGGGAGGUGGAAUUUCCGGUGUAGCGGUGAAAUGCGUAGAUAUGUGGAGGAAUACCGAUGGCGAAGGCAGCCCCCUGGGUCGAUACUGACACUCAUGCACGAAAGCGUGGGGAGCAAACGGG
rnacentral:rRNA from 1 species